AGCCAAAAAUGAAAAUUGAGCUGUGAAUAAUCAGAUAGGAAUUAUGUGGACAAAUGAGAUUUCAGAAUUUGGAAGGCACCAGUCUGGGACUUGAUCAUUCUGUACUGAGUUAGAUUUUACCCUCAGCUUUUUGAGGAAGUUAGAAGUAAUGUCGUCCUCUUUAAGGGGACUGCUUCCGGUAAAUUAUUUAAUGGGAUCAUCAACUUGCAAUCUUACUUUGGCUGUCAAAGGCACUUGUAUUAUGGCUGCUGGUUAGGUUCAAAGAUAUAGAACUGUUCCCCCCCCCCCCCCCUCUCAAAUACAAGAUAUAAAACUGUUAUUUCUCCUUAUUGGCAUCAAAUAGCAGAUCAUACAACCCCGUCACGUUUGGCCUUCCGUA